rnacentral:rRNA from 1 species
UACGUAGGUGGCAAGCGUUGUCCGGAAUUAUUGGGCGUAAAGCGCGCGCAGGUGGUUUCUUAAGUCUGAUGUGAAAGCCCACGGCUCAACCGUGGAGGGUCAUUGGAAACUGGGGAACUUGAGUGCAGAAGAGGAAAGUGGAAUUCCAAGUGUAGCGGUGAAAUGCGUAGAGAUUUGGAGGAACACCAGUGGCGAAGGCGGCACUCUGGGCCGGUACUGACGCUGAGGAGCGAAAGCGUGGGGAGCGAACAGG